UUGGAAGGGGCACCUGCACCCCAAUGUUUAUAGCAGCAAUGUCCACAAUAGACAAACUACGGAAAGAGCCAAGAUGUCCAUCGACAGAUGAAUGGAUAAAGAAGUCAUGGUGUGUGUGUGUGUGCGUGUGUAUAUAUAUAUAUAUAUAUAUAUAUGUAUAUAUAUAUAUAUAUAUAUGCAAUGGAAUAUUACUCAGCCUUCAAAAAGAAUGAAAUCUUGCCAUUUGCAAUGAUGUGGAUGGAACUAGGGGGGAUUAUGCUAAGCUAAAUAAGUCAGCCAGAGAGAGACAAAUACAUUAUGAUUUCACUCCUAUGUGGAAUUUAAGAAACAAAACAGAUGAACACAGGGGAAGGGAAGGAAAAAUAAAAUAAGAGAAAAACAGAGAGGGAGGCAAACCAUAAGAGAACCUUUUUUUUUUUUUUAAGAUUUUAUUUAUUUAUUUGAGAGAGAGAGCACAAACGGGGUGAGGAGCAGAGGGAGAAGCAGACUCCCUGCUGAGCGGGGAGCCUGAUGUGGGACUCGAUCCUGGGACUCUAGGAUCAUGACCUGAGCCGAAGGCAGAUGCUUGACCGACUGAGCCACCCAGGUGCCCACCAUAAAAGACUCUUACCUAUAGGAAGCAAACUGAGGGUUGCUGGAGGAGCGGUGAGUGGAGAGCAUAUUUGCAGGUUCACAAACUGCUUUUAUGGGCAGGAAACAAAGUGUGUGCUCACAUACAUACAACCACAUCUGCAUUUCAAAGAAAGCCAGGAGCAUCAUGCCUGACAGCCGGGGAGCCAGACCUCCAGAGCUGGAGAGAAGAUGCGCAUAUCUGAGCCCUGGGCAGUGGUGACAGCUGCAGGCGCUGGGAGACGUGCCAACAAGGGCUGCUGUAACGAAUUGCCACAAACCAGGUGGCCUGCAACUACAGAAAUUUAUUCUCACUCUUCUGGAGGCUAGAAGUCUGAAAUCAAGUACUCUACCCAAAACUCACUGCUACCUGGGAGAAGAUCUGUAUGACUUGAAUCACCAAGACUCAUCUUCCUAAGAUAGAAAAAGCUCAACAUAAGUCACAGAUGUAACCAAACAGAAAAAUGAGCAAAAGGGGGGACUGUCGAGAAGUUAAACCCAAGGGAUGCUUGAUAUAGGAGCAACACUCACAACAGGGUGGGGAGGCAGACGACUCAGCACUGAAAACCGGGGAUUGAGUGAGAGUCGACAUGUGAAGAGCAAACCUACCAAGCCCUUUCCCCCACAACCCCAACCACUGCCAGCCAGCCACCCAGUGACGCCUGCCCUACCCAUGUGGACCAGGGGACCAUACCAUCCUCAGAAGAAACUGGAUGACUUCAGAGAAACAGACCCCCCAGACCAAGCCCUGGGUCUUCCUACCACCCUCCAGUGAAGCACAGCUCUACCUAAGCACACAGAGUUUCCAGUUAGACUUUCUUAGCUCCCCUCCUGAAUUAUGAACAGAUAUGUCAGAGUCACCCAUCCCUGGAGAAAACCUCCAACACAAAAGACAGAAACCACAACACAGAAACAGAAUAAAAGCAGACAACGGGUAAUGCAUAGAGUAAAAGAAAACAUCAAAAAAAGUCAAUAAUAUCUUCAGAGAGGUGAGAAAAUGGCUUCCAUGAAACUAGAUCAGAAUUAUAUUUUUUUAAGGCAGAGGGGGAAAAAAACUCUUAGAAAUGAAACGUGUGAUUCUAAAAUAAAAACAGAGAAGAUUUAAUGGAAAGAUUGGGCGCUGAGAAAAAUCAUCCAGAGAGAAGAAUAAAAAGAGAAAGGACAGGGGAGAAAAGAUGUGAAAACUCAGAAGGUUAAUCAGAAGGCCCUCCGCAUGGAAAGCCAGCACAGAGGGAAGGAGCAGGAGGAAAUGAUAUAUAAAAAUAUCACAGGAAAAUGGCCCCAGACCAAAGGACAUCAGCUAAGUGCCUGUCGAGUAGCUAGAACAAUAAAGGAGGAAAGACCCACGGCAAGACAAGUGGUGGUGAGAUUCCAGAACGCCUGGUGUGAAAAAAAGGGCCUAAAGGGCUCCGGCAGGAAGACAACAGGGCAUGGACAGUGGGAAUCAGAGCGGGGAGACCUGUGGGAAGAGCGGAGCCGGGUCAGCGCAGGACUGGGGGAGACCCGGGAAUUCAUUCUGCAGCUGCGUUACCAUUGAGAUGCUUUUUCAGAUGUAUAGGCAGUUGAAUAUUUUAUUUGUUUGAGAGAGAGAGACACAGCGAGAGAGGGAACACAAGCAGGGGGAGUGGGAGAGGUAGAAGCACGCCCCCCGCGGAGCAGGGAGCCCGAUGUGGGACUCGAUCCCAGGACUCCGGGAUCAUGACCUGAGCCGAAGGCAGACGCUUAACGACUGAGCCACCCAGGCGCCCUAUAAUAAUUUUCAUUGAUGUUCCCAGAUUGAUUUUUUAAGGGCUAUAAAAAUGCACAUUUCUAUCACCAAUGUAUGUAACUAUCUCUUUCUCUGCAGGCCCACUAGCAAU